rnacentral:rRNA from 1 species
GACGAACGCUGGCGGCGUGCUUAACACAUGCAAGUCGAACGGAAAGGCCCUGCAUUUGUGGGGUGCUCGAGUGGCGAACGGGUGAGUAACACGUGAGUAACCUGCCCUUGACUUUGGGAUAACUUCAGGAAACUGGGGCUAAUACCGGAUAGGAGCUCCUGCUGCAUGGUGGGGGUUGGAAAGAUUCGGCGGUUGGGGAUGGACUCGCGGCUUAUCAGCUUGUUGGUGGGGUAGUGGCUUACCAAGGCUUUGACGGGUAGCCGGCCUGAGAGGGUGACCGGCCACAUUGGGACUGAGAUACGGCCCAGACUCCUACGGGAGGCAGCAGUGGGGAAUAUUGCACAAUGGGCGGAAGCCUGAUGCAGCAACGCCGCGUGCGGGAUGACGGCCUUCGGGUUGUAAACCGCUUUCGCCUGUGACGAAGCGUGAGUGACGGUAAUGGGUAAAGAAGCACCGGCUAACUACGUG